rnacentral:misc_RNA from 1 species
AACAAAUCAAUCAACAAAGUUCUAGAUGCAUUCUUAGAUCUGCGAAUAAAGGUAAUGAAGGUAACAUUUUAAUGAAUAACUACAGCAAAUUCAAACAAAGGAGAUGACAUGAGUAGAGGCACUGCUAACAAAUAGCUGCUAUAACUCUUUAGAAAUAAUUUUCCAAAAAAAAAUUCUCAUGUCAUGUCCUUACUCCCAAAGUAUGCAUUUGAUGCAAUGAAGCUCCAGAGCGCCUAGCACACUAGACAAUGAAAAAAAAUGCAGAUAUUUUAACACGUGACAGCAGCUAUAAACAGAACGCAUGAUAAGGAUUAGCUUAGGGAUUGUGUGAUUGGGGAUUGGUUUCAUUUGGAUUGGAAUUAGGGGGUCUCAAUCUAAUUUCAUUUUGCGAUGUUAAAGUCAAAGCAAUGAGUCUUGUUUUGCUGCAUCUAGAGUGUAAUGAAAUUACCGAUUUGCUGAUGAGGCAAUUGGUUUGGUUUAUGCUUAAUAGUUUUGAUCAGGUUUUCUCUGAUGUAAAAUUGGCCGUUGGUUCUGUACAUAGAGUGCCAUUGAUGGGUAUUUGUUCUGAAAUGUGAAUAUUAUCAUAUGAAGGGAAUGUUAUUGCUUUCUUUUGAGUGCUGCCUACAGUCUUUUUUGGAUUGGAAAGGGAAAAAAAAGUUAUUGAUCACAUCAUGGCAAACUUCCUUUUUUGGCUCUUUCAAUUUUGGGUGUAUGAAAUUUUAUGGAUACUUGUUGGUGUUAAAUCAUAAUGUUGGAGAUCAAUACCGAAAGAAAUAGAGUGGAGUUACUUCCUAUUGUAACUUGAAAUGGUUGGUUGUGUGAUGCAUUUAAGUUGUGAUCAUCAUAUAGCAAGCAAUAUUCACA